CACUCACUGUAGUGUACAUCACUUUGGAUAAAAGAGUCUGCUAAAUGGCAUUUU
rfam:Salmo salar isolate Sally breed double haploid chromosome ssa06, whole genome shotgun sequence.